GUACAGGGGUGAGCAACAGUUGCUCGGAAUCAUUGGGCGUAAAGCGCACGUAGGCGGUUUGUUAUGUCGGAUGUGAAAGCCCUUGGCUCAACUGAGGAAGUGCAUCCGAAACUGGCAAGCUAGAGUACUAAAGAGGGUCGCGGAAUUCCCGGUGUAGCGGUGAAAUGCGUAGAGAUCGGGAGGAACACCAGAGGCGAAGGCGGCGACCUGGACAGAUACUGACACUCAACUACGAAAGCGUGGGGAGCAAACAGG
rnacentral:rRNA from 1 species